rnacentral:rRNA from 1 species
UUAUACAACAAAAUCAAGUGAAUAUUAUUGGCUUUAAAAUAAUUAACAUUGAUAUUGUAUUUUAUAUUAAUUUAAAUAUUUUAAGGUGAAAUAUUUAAAAUAUUUUGAAUUUGUAAUAUUUUUAGUGUGAAAUUAUGAAAAUGAAAUUGUAAACUAGGAUUAGAUACCCUAUUAUUUUUAUUGUAAAUAAAAUAAAGCUAGAGUAAUAAUAGUUAUGAUCUUAAAACUUAAAGAAUUUGGCGGUAUUAUAGUCUAUUUAGAGGAAUCUGUUAUGUAAUCGAUAAUCCACGUUGAACCUUACUUAUAUUAUUUCUUGUAUACCACUGUUUAGGAAAAUACUUUUAGGUUAAUUUUCUAGAUAAAAAACUAAUUAAUAUUUCAAGUCAAGGUGCAGUAAUAUAUAAGUUGAAUAAUGGAUUACAAUAAAUUAUAUUUAUUAUGAAUUAUUAUUGAAAUAUAAUUUGAAGGUGGAUUUAAUUGUAAUUUUAUAAAUUUUGUUAAAAUGAUUUAAAGCUCUAUAAUAUGUACACAUCGCCCGUCACUCUCAUUAUUAAGAUGAGAUAAGUCGUAACAAAGUAGGUGUAUCGGAAGAUGUACCUAGAAUGUAA